rnacentral:lncRNA from 10 species
CUUGCUGUUGCCUGGCAGGGCACAAGGUCACCCUUCUUAUCCUGCCUCAGGGUUACAUCGGCUUUCUCGCUCUGCGCCACCAAAUCCACAGGCACCUUCAUCAGGUCACCACCCCGUAGAGCACCACACUGGUCCAUUCUAUUGAUGAAACUACACUGACAGCAUCUGGAGAGAGGAAAAUGGCAGGUUCAGCCGGAACUUGAGGCACUGGACAACUGUCUCGAUGUCAGUGACGAGCCGGGCCAGAUGGAUAUACAGCCGGUCACCCAUGGGAAAGAUCUGGAAGUCCGUGGUAACCAUUUGGGCCUGGAUCCCGAAGCGCCUGUCUGCAGCUAUAGCCAAACAGCUCUUCUCCUUCAUGGCCAUGACGGCCCCUCGGUUAUGGGACAUAAUAAACAUAAUUGUGGUAUACUAGCAACCCUCCAUCACCAGCGCAAUUCCGGUAAACUGGGUCUAGCCUUCCCUUAUUUUGACAUUUUUAACGCCUAUUUUUAACCAAUUGUGCCUACUUUACGCCUUUAGAAAUGUUUUAUCAAUAGUUUUAUUUUGUAGUCCGCGUGUGGUGGCUCACGCCUGUAAUCCCAGC